rnacentral:rRNA from 1 species
GUAGGUGGCAAGCGUUGUCCGGAAUUAUUGGGCGUAAAGCGCGCGCAGGCGGGUCCUUCAAGUCUGAUGUGAAAGCCCACGGCUCAACCGUGGAGGGUCAUUGGAAACUGGGGGACUUGAGUACAGAAGAGGAAAGCGGAAUUCCAAGUGUAGCGGUGAAAUGCGUAGAGAUUUGGAGGAACACCAGUGGCGAAGGCGGCUUUCUGGUCUGUAACUGACGCUGAGGCGCGAAAGCGUGGGGAGCGAACAGGAUUAGAUACCCUGGUAGUCCACGCCGUAAACGAUGAGUGCUAAGUGUUAGGGGGUUUCCGCCCCUUAGUGCUGCAGCUAACGCAUUAAGCACUCCGCCUGGGGAGUACGGCCGCAAGGCUG